AUUGAACGCUGGCGGCAUGCUUUACACAUGCAAGUCGAACGGUAACAGGCCGCAAGGUGCUGACGAGUGGCGAACGGGUGAGUAAUGCAUCGGAACGUGCCCAGUCGUGGGGGAUAACGCAGCGAAAGCUGUGCUAAUACCGCAUACGAUCUAUGGAUGAAAGCGGGGGACCGUAAGGCCUCGCGCGAUUGGAGCGGCCGAUGUCAGAUUAGGUAGUUGGUGGGGUAAAGGCCUACCAAGCCGACGAUCUGUAGCUGGUCUGAGAGGACGACCGGCCACACUGGGACUGAGACACGGCCCAGACUCCUACGGGAGGCAGCAGUGGGGAAUUUUGGACAAUGGGCGCAAGCCUGAUCCAGCAAUGCCGCGUGCAGGAAGAAGGCCUUCGGGUUGUAAACUGCUUUUGUACGGAACGAAACGGUCUGGGUUAAUACCCUGGGCUAAUGACGGUACCGUAAGAAUAAGCACCGGCUAACUACGUGCCAGCCGCCGCGGUAACAC
rnacentral:rRNA from 1 species